rnacentral:rRNA from 1 species
UACGAAGGGGGCUAGCGUUGCUCGGAAUUACUGGGCGUAAAGCGCACGUAGGCGGUCUUUUAAGUCGGGGGUGAAAUCCUGGAGCUCAACUCCAGAACUGUCUUCGAUACUGGAAGACUUGAGUCCGGGAGAGGUGAGUGGAACUGCGAGUGUAGAGGUGAAAUUCGUAGAUAUUCGCAAGAACACCAGUGGCGAAGGCGGCUCACUGGCCCGGAACUGACGCUGAGGUGCGAAAGCGUGGGGAGCAAACAGG